CAAGCACAGGAACAAACAGGGAAUCAGGCAUCCUUUGCAGCAAGCACCACCCUCCUGCCACGAACGCAGCACCGUCUCUGAGGAAGUGACAAGACUUCACAUUUAUAGAUUUCUCUAUAUUUGACCAGACAAUUUUCAGUGUCUGCCUACAUACAACGCACACACACAGAACGAAAAAGAAAAAAGAUACAGCAGGAAAUAAUUCUCAGUAUUUUUUGAAAUACUAUUUCAAACAUUGUUUUCUGAAACAAUGUUAUCUAAGACUGCAAAGGUUUUUAAUUCAGAAAAGCACAAGAGACUCCUAUUUCAACAAUGGCAAUGGCAUCCCACAACUGCUGGCUUCCCUGUGUGAGAAGCAAAUCGGCCUUUGAAAAAGCAGAAGUGUUCAUUUUGAUGAAGUCCACACAUUGCUUUACCCUGUUACAGAGCGGUCUUUUGAGGACGCACCCAGGGAAGCGUGGCCCGGCCCACGGUCACGAAGCCUUCGUCCUAGCUCUGCGGUCUUUUGAGGAUGCACCCAGGGAAGCGUGGCCUGGCCCGCGGUCACGAAGGCUUCGUCGUCACUCUGCAGUCUUUUGAGGAUGCACCCAGGGAAGCGUGGCCCGGCCCGCGGUGACAAAGGCUUCGUCAUCACUCUGUGGUCUUUUGAGGACGUAUCCCGCGAAGUGUGGCCCGGCCCGUGGUCACGAAGGCUUCGUCGUCACUCUGCAGUCUUUUGAGGAUGCACCCAGGGAAGCGUGGCCCGGCCCGCGGUGACAAAGGCUUCGUCAUCACUCUGCGGUCUUUUGAGGACGUAUCCCACGAAGUGUGGCCCGGCCCACUGUCACAAAGGCUUCGCCCUAGCUCUGCGGUUCUGGGCUUUACCUUCAGAUCCCUGACGCAUCUGGGGUUAAUUUUUUGACUCCAAGUUCACUUUCUGGUGUAUGAGUGAUCCUAUCAUUUACAGUAUCCUUAUUAAAAGAUGCCAUUAAAUGGUCUUUGAGCCUUCAUCAAGUCAGUGGUCCGCGUGCGGGCGCCUGUUUCUGGACGCUCUCGUUCUGCUCAUCGGUCUGAAAGCCAACACCACGUGGCCCCAUGACUGUGGUUUUGUGAGUCUUGCACCCAGGACCUGCUGCCAUUCAGCUUCACUCCUCCCCAGUGUUUCGGCAGCUGUGGGUCCUUUGCACGCCCACGAGAAUUUCACAAUCAGUUUGUCGAUUUCUACAGAAAAGCCUUCAGGGACUUUGAUGAAAAGAUUCUGAUCUUCAAAAUUCAGGCCGGGCACGGUGGCUCAUGCCUGUAAUCCCAGCACUUUGCGAGGCCAAGGCAGGCGGGUCACCUGAGGUCAGGAGUUCAAGACCACCCUGACUAACAUGGUGAAACCCCGUCUCUACUAAAAAUAGAAAAAAUAAGCCGGUCGUGCUGGCGAGCGCCUGUAAUCCCAGCUACUCAGAGGCUGAGGCAGCAGAAUCACUUGAACCCAGGAGGUGGGGGUUGCAGUGAGCCAAGAUUACACCACUGCACUCCAGCCUGGGCGACAGAGUGAGACUCCAUCUCAAAAAAAAAAAAAAAAAAAAAUUCAGAACAACUGUAAAGAUAGAAAUGAAACCAUGAUAUGUCAGGAUUUAAAGGGUCUUUUUCUAUUUUUAGAGAAAGGGUCUCACUCUGUCACCCAGGCUGGAGUGCAGUGGUACGAUCACAGCUCACUGCAGCACUGACCUUCUGGGCUUAAGUAACCCUCCUGCCUCGGCCUCUCAAAGUGCUAAGAUUACAGGUGUGAGCCACUGCAUCCAGGCUAAAGGGUAUGUUUUAAUAAGAACAGCUUGUACCAGGACACCCCAUUUUUAACCUUUUUCUGGUUAUUUUUCUGUUUUUAUCCUGUAUUAUGGAAUUAGUUCCAAAUAAUUAAAAUUCUGCUGGCUGUUUAAAUGAUCCUGUCAUCAUUUUGUAAAAAACAAAAAAGCCAGGGUGCAAACACACCUCUCUUCGUUUUUUUUUGAAAUGCAGUCUCGCUCUGUCAUCCAGGCUGGAGUGCAAUGGUGCGAUCUCAGCUCACUGCAACCUUCACCUCCUGAGUUCAGGCAAUUCUCCAUUCUCAUGUCUCAGCCUCCUGAGUAGCUGGUACUACAGGUGCAUGCCACCACACCUGGCUAAGUUUUGUAUUUUUAGUAGAGAUGGGGUUUCACCAUGUUGGCCAGCCUGGUCUUGAACUCUUGACCUCAGUAUUACAGGCAUGCGC
rnacentral:lncRNA from 10 species